UACGUAGGGUGCGAGCGUUGUCCGGAAUUAUUGGGCGUAAAGAGCUCGUAGGCGGUGUGUCACGUCGGCCGUGAAAACCUGCAGCUUAACUGUGGGCGUGCGGUCGAUACGGGCAUCACUGGAGUUCGGCAGGGGAGACUGGAAUUCCUGGUGUAGCGGUGAAAUGCGCAGAUAUCAGGAGGAACACCGGUGGCGAAGGCAGGUCACUGGGCCGCAACUGACGCUGAGGAGCGAAAGCGUGGGGAGCGAACAGG
rnacentral:rRNA from 1 species